ACGUAAUGCUAUGCUAUUUUGCUUAUUAUAGCUUGUUUAUCUUAGUUGUGUGAAAAAGUUAGAGUGACUAUUAUCAAGGGUUACUACCUCUAAAAUGGAGACAUUCUAAUCAGGAUCAUCGUAGUAGUCGUCCAUCUGAGCACGUUGUAUCAUCGCAUUGAUCGGUUAAGAUAUCCAAGUGCGAGUUUAAUGUCCUAGUGUGUUCCACAUUUGCAUUGUCUUCAUUUGUUUGUACGGUGAUGACGACAGCACUGUUGUCGCCAUAGUCUCCUUGUUGGGCCAUUGUCCGGACUCCAAUCCCCGGACUCCUAUCUCCGGACUCCCGACUCAUUGUUGGCCCUUUGUUUUUGCGCCUCGCGUGUCUAAUAAAAGCGCAUCACAAUGUGGGUCAUUGUACGACGACACAGGCCAGUCGGCUUCAUAUGACUUUGCAUUUGUCAGCAGCAUGCAACUGCUGCAACAUCAACACAUAAAGCGCCGCUAAUUGCAAACGUUCACAUGCCGCACAAUCGGCAAGAGGCAUGCAGAGAAAAUAUUUAUUUUCCAAAUUUUUUUAUUUAAAUACAAGAAAAACAACAUCAGAUAGUUUUUUUUGUAAUAUUUAAGAAUUGAACCGUUGAAACGAUUUGCUUGCUAUUUUGUUAUUCAUUAAGCAAGUACGCAUAUUGGUAGAUUUUUUUCAGUGUCGUCACUCUUUGUUUCGCAUAAGUCUGCGACAGCUGCAAAAGGAGAAAAGGGGGGAAAACCUAUGGAAUGUGUGUCAGGCAUAGUAAAUCGAUAUGGACUCCUAAAUAAUUCAUUCCUGGAUUAAUUGUGAUUGCGUCUAAAGUCUUCCUGGUUCAUCAAUUCACUUAACACGAGUAAACGACACAUACCUUUUAAUCAGAAUUGGUCAUUUCAAAUCGCGCCCCGAAAAUAGGCAAUGAAAACAUGUUGCACAAAUUUUCUACAUGUAUCUACAUCUGAGCAAUGUAAAAUGUAAAACAAAACGUUAGGGAUUUUAAGACAUUGGUGUGGGUUUAUUUUAUUUUAAGCUCAAAUACUCAUAUCUUAACAUCUUCCACCCCAGGCGGGCCCCAAAUUAAGACGGCA